UACGGAGGGUGCGAGCGUUAUCCGGAUUCACUGGGUUUAAAGGGCGCGUAGGCGGUCGUGACAAGUCACUUGUGAAAUCUCCGGGCUUAACUCGGAAAGGUCAAGUGAUACUGUCGGACUAGAGUACAGAAGGGGCAACUGGAAUUCUCGGUGUAGCGGUGAAAUGCGUAGAUAUCGAGAGGAACACCUGCGGCGAAGGCGGGUUGCUGGGCUGAUACUGACGCUGAGGCGCGAAAGCUAGGGGAGCGAACGGG
rnacentral:rRNA from 1 species